GUUUUGUUUAUAAUAAGCGAAGAGAUGAUAUUAAUAAAACUGUAUGGUGCAGAAAGUGUCUUUUUCAUUACAGUUUCUGGUGUUGGGCAACGGUAGAUCACUAUGGCUUCUGUACCGUGAAAUGAAGCUUAUGAUGAAAUACUGAUGCUUGGCCAAUCUCACCAACGGGAUAUAAUAAGAACUGAUGCAGGUUUAUAACUACAUGUAUUGUCUAUCCGGAACAAAGUUAGUACGCUUUUUAUACCGAAGUUGGAUUUUUUCUCCAGAUACAGGCAACUUACCCAACUUCGAAAGUAGUGCGCUGGAUUCGCCUAAAGAUGCGCUAAACAACACAUCAAUUAGUUUGACAGAUAAAACUUUGGAAGAAAGCUCGGUUCGGAAGUCCCGACAGCAAAGCGAGGUAAAAUGAGUGAAAAUGAAGUUUAAACUGAUUUAAAAUAAAAUAAUUUG